GACGAACGCUGGCGGCGUGCCUAAUACAUGCAAGUAGAACGCUGAAGCGAGGAGCUUACUCUUCUUGGAUGAGUUGCGCACGGGUGAGUAACGCGUAGGUAACCUGCCUUGUAGCGGGGGAUAACUAUUGGAAACGAUAGCUAAUAACGCAUAACAAUGGAUGACACAUGGCAUUUGUCUGAAAGGGGCAAUUGCUCCACUACAAGAUGGAUCUGCGUUGUAUGAGCUAGUAGGUGAGGUAAUGGCUCCCCUAGGCGACGGUACAUAGCCGACCUGUGAAGGUUAUCCGCCAACCCGGGACUGGGAACAGGCCCAGGAUUCUACGGGAGGCAGCCGUAGGGAAUCUUCGGAAAUGGGGGCAACCCUGACCGAGGAACGCCGCGUGAGUGAAGAAGGGUGUCGGAUCGUAAAGCUCUGUUGUAAGUCAAGAACGGGUGUGAGAGUGGAAAGUUCACACUGUGACGGUAGCUUAACAGAAAGGGACGGCUAACUACGUG
rnacentral:rRNA from 1 species